rnacentral:rRNA from 1 species
GUAAGGCGAAGGGGCUGCUUCGGACUCGAAUUGUGGCGUAAAGGGUGCGUAGGCGGCGCGGUAAGUCGGGUGUGAAAUCUCGGAGCUUAACUCCGAAACUGCAUUCGAUACUGCCGGUGCUUGAGGACUGGAGAGAAGACUGGAAUUUACGGUGUAGCGGUGAAAUGCGUAGAUAUCGUAAGGAAGACCAGUGGCGGAAGGCGGGUCUCUGGACAGUUCCUGACGCUGAGGCACGAAGGCCAGGGGAGCAAACAGG